GCCAACAAACACUGUGACUAAUCCCGAAUAAAUCGGGAAAUGGUAUCACUGAGACAUGGGCAUUUCACUCUCCUUUUAACCCCGAUGGAUGAUAUCCAGAUGCCUAUCUGUACCGCCAUGAACACUAGUUGAGAGGGAUAACUCCCUUUUGUCAGAAGCAGAGACUCUCACAAUGAAGUUCAGCCACCACAGACAAUCAGAGAAAUAACACCUGUAAAACUCUACACGACCCAAUCAAAGGGCGGAGAGGUCGAGCCACCCUUCAGCUAGUGAAAGGGGAGGAGCCGUACCCUCCCAUAGGGCAGGGGACGA
rnacentral:misc_RNA from 1 species